AUUGAACGCUGGCGGCAGGCCUAACACACGCAAGUCGGACGGUAGCACAGAGGAGCUUGCUCCUUGGGUGGCGAGUGGCGGACGGGUGAGUAAUGUCUGGGGAUCUGCCCGAUAGAGGGGGAUAACCACUGGAAACGGUGGUUAAUACCGCAUAACGUCGCAAGACCAAAGAGGGGGACCUUCGGGCCUCUCACUAUCGGAUGAACCCAGAUGGGAUUAGCUAGUAGGCGGGGUAAUGGCCCACCUAGGCGACGAUCCCUAGCUGGUCUGAGAGGAUGACCAGCCACACUGGAACUGAGACACGGUCCAGACUCCUACGGGAGGCAGCAGUGGGGAAUAUUGCACAAUGGGCGCAAGCCUGAUGCAGCCAUGCCGCGCGUAUGAAGAAGGCCUUCGGGUUGUAAAGUACUUUCAGCGGGGAGGAAGGCGAUGCGGUUAAUAACCGCGUCGAUUGACGUUACCCGCAGAAGAAGCAUCGGCUAACUCCGUGCCAGCAGCCGCCGUAA
rnacentral:rRNA from 1 species